GACGAACGCUGGCGGCGUGCUUAACACAUGCAAGUCGAACGGAAACGCCCCUUUGGGGGUACUCGAGUGGCGCACGGGUGAGUAACACGUGAGUAACCUGCCCUUGACUUCGGGAUAACCUCAGGAAACUGGGGCUAAUACCGGCUAGGAAUCCUUGCUGCAUGGUGGGGGUUGGUAAGCUUCGGCGGUUUUGGAUGGACUCGCGGCUUAUCAGCUUGUUGGUGGGGUAGUGGCUUACCAAGGCUUUGACGGGUAGCCGGCCUGAGAGGGCGACCGGCCACAUUGGGACUGAGGUACGGCCCAGGCUGCUACGGGAGGCAGCAGUGGGGAAUCUUGCACCAUGGGCGGAAGCCUGAUGCAGCAACGCCGCGUGCGGGAAGACGGCCUUCGGGUUGUAAACCGCUUUCGGCAGGAGCGAAGCUUGUGGUGACGGUACCUGCAGAAGAAGCACCGGCUAACUACGUG
rnacentral:rRNA from 1 species